GAUGAACGCUGGCGGCGUGCCUAAUACAUGCAAGUCGAGCGAACGGACGAGAAGCUUGCUUUUCUGAUGUUAGCGGCGGACGGGUGAGUAACACGUGGAUAACCUACCUAUAAGACUGGGAUAACUUCGGGAAACCGGAGCUAAUACCGGAUAAUAUUUUCAACCGCAUGGUUCAAAAGUGAAAGACGGUCUUGCUGUCACUUAUAGAUGGAUCCGCGCUGCAUUAGCUAGUUGGUAAGGUAACGGCUUACCAAGGCAACGAUGCAUAGCCGACCUGAGAGGGUGAUCGGCCACACUGGAACUGAGACACGGUCCAGACUCCUACGGGAGGCAGCAGUAGGGAAUCUUCCGCAAUGGGCGAAAGCCUGACGGAGCAACGCCGCGUGAGUGAUGAAGGUCUUCGGGUCGUAAAGCUCUGUUAUUAGGGAAGAACAGAUGUGUAAGUAACUGUGGACAUCUUGACGGUACCUAAUCAGAAAGCCACGGCUAACUACGUG
rnacentral:rRNA from 1 species